rnacentral:lncRNA from 1 species
GAUUGCUCAAGACCUUUGGUCUCUAUCCGGACUUGAUGAAAAAAAUGGGAUCACUUCUUAUGAACUUGUUGAAAAUGAUUCUGAUCUAGUUCAUAGCCUAUUAGAAGUAGAAGGCGCUCUAGUGGGAUCCUCACAGACAAAAAAAAGGUUGCAGUUAGUUUGAUAAUGAUCGAGUAACAUUGUUUUUUCGGUCUGAACUAAGGAAUUCCUUAAUAUGAUUUAAAAAAGAUCUUGUUUUAUGUUGAUAAAAGAUUUCUCUAUGAAAAAUAUGAAUCAGAGUUUGCAAAAGGGGAAGAAGUCUUCGACCCGCAACAGAUGGAGGAGGAUUUAUUCAAUCACAUAGUUUGGGCUCAUGGAAUAUGGCACUUUCUUCUUUUCAUGCUCUGCUAUUUCAUUGUCUAAGGAGGCUUUAGCAAUUUUGGUGACGAAAAUGAAUAGAAUGCCUAAGAAGAAUAUAUAAUUGAACGGAUUUUCUAAAUAUUUUCGUUUUUACACUUGAUAAGAUCAUGUUAUCUUGAGUUUUUUUUUCUUUAUAUAUAUAUAUAUAUAUAUAUCUUGUUGAGGAUGCAAAUUAUCUUUUGACUCCAAUGUAUAACUCAGUUAAAAUUAUUCAAUAUCAUUUUGAGCAUUACUAUUGAAUUUAGAAUAGGAAAACAAAAUUUGAUAGAUUUUUUUUAACGUCUCUUAUUUCUUAAAAAAUAUUACUAUUUGUUAUGUCAAUUAAAGUAAUUAAAAUAAAUAAAUACAAAGGUCGAACAAUUGUGCAAGGAAGAAAUUGUUGAUGGGAUCACUUCUUAUGAACUCGUUGAGAAUGAUUCUGAUCUAGUUCAUGGCCUAUUAGAAGUAGAAGGCGCUCUAGUGGGAUCCUCACAGACAAAAAAAAAAUGUUGCAGUUAGUUUGAUAAUGAUCGAGUGACAUUGUUUUUUCGGUCUGAACCAAGGAAUUUCUUAAUAUGAUUUAAAAAAGAUCUUGUUUUAUGUUGAUAAGAGAUUUCUCUAUGAAAAAUAUGAAUCGGAGUUUGCAAAAGGGGAAGGAGUCUUCGACCCGCAACAGAUGGAGGAGGAUUUAUUCAAUCACAUAGUUUGGGCUCAUGGAAUAUGGCGCUUUCUUCUUUUCAUGCUCUGCUAUUUCAUUGUCUAAGGAGGCUUUAGCAAUUUUGGUGACGAAAAUGAAUAGAAUGCCUAAGAAGAAUAAUUGUUAUUAUUAAAUCUCCAAAAGAAGGAGAACGGAUUUUCUAAAUAUUUUCGUUUUUACACUUGAUAAGAUCAUGUUAUCUUGAGCUUUUUUUUCUUUAUAUAUAUAUAUCUUGUUGAGGAUGCAAAUUAUCUUUUGACUCCAAUGUAUAACUCAG